AACAGAGUCCUUGACAUCGACUCCUCAAACCGUGUGGCACUUGAGGCUGUGAGCAAUGGGAAGAAGCUCAAGAGCCGUACUCCAUACAACAACCUGAGGCCAUUCCUCCAGAGCCAGUUGCACUGUGACAGACACUUAUUGGACCACAGAGAUGGACUGCAGCCCUCCAGCAUUCAGGGACCUGUGCAGCCAUCACCUGACACCUCACAGUUGCCUGCUGAACUGAAUAGCCUGGAGGGACAGCAGCACUGUGAAGCUCGCCUGGCUCCUUCCCUGCAACGAGAGGUUCCCCUGGCCCCUGCCCAUGGAAAUCCAAGUGAAGCGGCAAGGGAAGUAUCCAUUGAAGGGAAGUGGUUGACAGACCUCCACAUAGAUCAUGCACAGCAUUUGCUUG